GAAUAUGCACGAGUAACCGAUUGUUUACGCACGAAGUGAUCGAGCGCGCACGAUGAGCUGUCGAUUUCGCACGACGCGAACACAGCACGCGCUCAACGUUCGCUUGAGUACGAAUCACAAUGUUUUGCAGAAAAAAACGUCGAAGAAUCUGGUACCUAGAGACAGAACCAGCGGGCAUUAAUAACAACACGAUCAGUCUCGAUGCUGGCGCCUAAAGGAGUAGGUGAUUCUCGAGCGUACAGCGACGAAUAAAAUUUUUAGUCAAUCGCUGUCGGUGAAAUUUGUAUUCGUUGUAUCUACGGUAUAAAUGUGUUCCACAAUAUGAUCUAUAAAGCGAUUCAAGAGACUACGCCGCCAAUAACUGGGAUCCGACAGCUUUGAGAACGUUCAUCGACAUUUCGAAAUAUCCUCCGGAAUCGAUUCUCGCAGUGAACGCUAGCUGAAGACGAACAAGUGUCCGUAUUUGUGCGUAUCGCGUGUACCCUCGUGAACGGUGUUUGUUUUCUGUGUCAAAUAUCGAAAGGUUCGGACCGUAUUCGGUGAUUCGUAAAUUUACGCGCGGAAUAGUGUAAAAAAUAAAACCGUUUCUGAAAAAGAAAAGAAAGAAAAAAGAGAAAUUAAAAGUGCAUUCGGUUGUUCAAAUCGCCGGGGUGUACACGUCAGUUCGCACGCGUACGUCAGAGUUUGAGGGUUGACGCCUUCAAACCGGAAACGAGGAUUAAUCCUGUCUUCCUCAAGAAUAAACGAGGACGAGGUAAGGCGGCACCGCGAACCGGUUGCCAGGAGGAUCCCUAUGAAAAUGCUUCAAUCGUUGAACGCUCUGGCGGGUAAGAUCUCGCCAGGCUCGCCGACUGACAGCAACGCAAACAAGGUGCACAUGCACAACAACAACAACAACGUCGUGCACCAUCAUCAUCCUUAUUCGAAGCAGCAGGCCCAGCAACCGUCGCCGUCGUCGCAGUCGAGCAACGGUGACCAGAAGGAAAACACGUAAGUAAUCAUCGCAGAUUCCGAGGCCGCGACCUUGCAAAUCUGAUCGAAUCACCUACGUAAGUGUCAAUUGUCGACAGAGUCGAUAGAUCGAUGCAUUUUUGCCAAGUGUAGAAAUCAAAUGAAAAAUUUCAAAUUUUACUUAUAGUUGCUAUGUUAUAGUUCGUAUGAUUUUAGUCCGAAAGUGGUUCAUGCGUGUCGGAUAGUUAUUUAGGGAUUUUAGUGUAGUUUAUAUUAUACGUAUUAACUCAUAAUACGUAAUUGCUUAACGUGUUUAUUUCUAUGAGCGUAUGACUCGGAGAUCAGAACACGAACGGACAACACAAGACCUCGAAGUCGUUAAGUUUACAAUACACAUAAUAGAUGUCGCGAUUAGUAAAUGGUUCCUACAACGUGCAAUAAUUUCAUUUUACACUUUUGAUCGCGUGUAAGUUAUUUUAAUUAGUUUACAUUUUUGUCAAUAUAAAAUUUUCGUCGUGGACUUAAUCGAACGGUUCGCAACGUGUCAAAAAGUCGACCCUUCAUUUCUUUUUUUUUUUUUUUUUUUUUCGAUCGCAAGGGAGUACAACGAAUGCAGUGCACGCGUUUGCGGAUGAGGUCGACCGAAAUUUCAGCGCGGCUGUAAUCGCGCUCUCGCGGAACGGAGUUUCCCGCGCUCGGAACGGUGAUUCACGGACGACCGGCAGCGAGAAACGCGCGACCAAUUGAAAAAGAAGAGGCGCAUUAAUUUUGAAUUUUUACUUGACGGCCAUUGUUCCAUCCAGCGACGCAGUUCACCUCCGCGGGCACGGCCAUUUUACGAGCUUCACUUUACGCCCGUGUUAUAUUCGUUUCGUGUUGAAAAAUGAAUUUCAUUCAGUAGUGUUAAAAAAUAUAUAAGCAAACGUUAACCUUCGAGAAAUUACAAAAUUCAAAAUAUGCAACAGAAAGAGUGCACAAUACUUUACUUAAAAAUAAACACAAUUAUGUACGUAGUACGAUGAUCGAAGUUUCGAGCAAUUUCUAUGUCAACAGACACGCUUGUCAAGAAGAAAACGCGUAAUUCUUAUCUACGAAAUCAUUUCACUCGAAUGGAUAUCGUUACAAGCGUGACAUUGCAUACGUUUAUAAAUACAAACACGAAGUUAAACGGAAGCCUAAAAAGUCGAGAGUUACUACACUCGUACUCGAUUUUCUCGAAAACGAAGACACGUACGGAAAAAAUUGUAUUCUCCACUUUCGACUUGGUUUUCCAUCGUCAUUGUAGGAUCACCCUGUACAAUAGAUAGGUGGAGGCUAUACACUCGGUCCACACACGUUACGACCUGAGGGACUCUAAACCUAGGGGCUAUAAUACUUGGAAGGUUAACGGUGAACAUAAUGGCGUUAUCGUAUCCUCGCGACGUAAACUGAAACACGCUUUAACCAUCCAUUAAACUGGCACGUCUUUAACUCCCUCAACGGGCGAUUUUACGCGCGUUUAGAUUUCCGGCUUAUCUCUUACGUCGAAGCCGUGGUUAAGGGACGAUUAGUAGGACAGUUUUCUCUCGAAUUUCCGAGCGGGACGUGAAAAGAGGAAAACAAAAAACUUGCGAUUAUCCGAUCAUCGGCUGAGCGGAGAUUCGUGUGAGGAAUUGCGCUCGCCGUGUCAUGUCGGGACCAUUUUUCAUUUUCUUGAACCACCGGCAGACAGCCGGUUUAAAGCUCCGGUCUGAUACUAAACGGUAACGGUAGCGAUUGUUGACCAGUUAAGACAAAUUUAUCGCAUGAAUAGUGGUAGCAUCUUUCUUUAUCAUUAAGUAACGACGGUGAAUGGCUAAUGACGCGCCUAAACUCUUUAAAUUGUGUAAUGGAGAAAGAUUUUAACAAGAAUUGCGUAAAAAAAUUGGGAGACUAUUUUUAAAAAUUCAGUAACCGCUGUAAAAGUUGACCAUUAUUAGAAAUU